UAAACCUGCUUGUGAAAGCAGGCUGAACGUACAGAAGUCAGCAGACGCCAAAGUACAGAAGCUGUUGCAAGGUU
rfam:Bacillus sp. FJAT-26390 scaffold6, whole genome shotgun sequence.